CCGGACCAUUGUGAACGCCGGUAUUCAUAUAAUAAUGAGGGAUACUUCCACGAAAAUUCACCCUCUGGGAGACAGAGAGUUAACUCGGAGAUUUACGUACCUAGUGCACAUGAGCCUCAGCAUUACGAGGGCGUGGACGAGAAAACUCUGGCGCAUAAUUUACUAUCGAUACAACCAGUGGGAAGGUUCACCAUAGAGAGACCUAAGCUGAGACUUUAAAAGACGACUGACCAAUCGCCGUAAGUUGGACAUUGUGCAAGGAGUAAGUAACCUACCUAAGUGAAAGAUUCACGAAUACAUAG